GCCGGGCGCAGUGGCUCACACCUGUCAUCCCAGCGGCUCAGGAGGCGGAGGCAGGAGGAUCGUGAGUUCAAAGCCAGCCUCAGCAAAAGUGAGGCACUAAACAACUCAGGAGACCCUGUCUCUA
rnacentral:sRNA from 1 species